UACGAGAGGCCCAAACGUUAUUCGGAAUUACUGGGCUUAAAGAGUUCGUAGGCGGCGCGGAAAGUCGGGUGUGAAAGCCCUCGGCUCAACCGAGGAAGUGCGCCCGAAACUGCAUGGCUUGAGUACCGGAGAGGAUGGCGGAAUUCCCCAAGUAGAGGUGAAAUUCGUAGAUAUGGGGAGGAACACCGGUGGCGAAGGCGGCCAUCUGGACGGAUACUGACGCUGAGACGCGAAAGCGUGGGGAGCAAACAGG
rnacentral:rRNA from 1 species